ensembl:lncRNA
AGCUUGUGAAGAGUCUUGCGUGCCAAGCUGAGGAACUCGGAUUACAUAUUGCGGGUUACGAAGAGUCAACAGAGGAUUCUUUGCGAUGGAGACUGCCAUGAUCCAUUUGGACUGGGAAGAUCAUUCUAUGGCAAAGUGAGGACAGAUGCAAUGAGGAAGAAGCUGGUGACAGGAGCGCCAGCGAGAGGCUGCAUUCAGUGAAAGAGAUAAAAGAGCGGAAGCUAGGGUAGUCCCAACAGAUGGAGAGAAGCCAUGAAGAGAAUUUCGAAGAUAAGUAUGGAACUCAACCUUAUGCAGGAGAGUUGAGGUACUUGACUUUGAAAUGGUGCUUGGUAUCACCAGAGGAGAAAGCUGCUUAUUGACUUGACAUUUUCCCCUGAGUGUACACUUUCCAGUAGUGUCAUCUCUUCAAAAUGCCAUGCGCACCAUACAUGGAACCAUUGAACCAAGAAUAAGCUCCAGCCCAGAGCCUUCAUAUCAAGCUCCCUGCUGUCUCAUCAAUGCUCACACCUUCCCUGGUGACAACAUAUAAAAUAACAAAUCAUGACCAGUCUCUAUUUUCCUUACCUCACUUCACACAUUCAAUCACCAGCAAAUGUAGACUUAUUUGUUUCUUAUCUUUCCCCUUUCAUGUCAAUGUAAGCUCCACAAGACUUUGUCAUGUUUGCCAUUGUAACCACUGUGUCUGCAACACAGAGGGUACACAAUAAAUAG